GACGAACGCUGGCGGCGUGCCUAAUACAUGCAAGUCGAGCGCAGGAAACUGACGGAACUCUUCGGAGGGAAGGCAGUGGAAUGAGCGGCGGACGGGUGAGUAACACGUAAGGAACCUGCCUCAAGGAUUGGGAUAACUCCGAGAAAUCGGAGCUAAUACCGGAUAGUUCAACGGACCGCACGGUCCGUUGAUGAAAGGCGCUCCGGCGUCACCUUGAGAUGGCCUUGCGGUGCAUUAGCUAGUUGGUGGGGUAACGGCUCACCAAGGCGACGGUGCAUAGCCGACCUGAGAGGGUGAUCGGCCUCACUGGGACUGAGACACGGCCCAGACUCCUACGGGAGGCAGCAGGAGGGAAUCUUCCACAAUGGACGAAAGUCUGAUGGAGCAACGCCGCGUGAGUGAUGAAGGUUUUCGGAUCGUAGAACACUGUUGUAAGGGAAGAACACGUACGAGAGGAAAUGCUCGUACCUUGACGGUACCUUACGAGAAAGCCACGGCUAACUACGUGCCAGCCGCCGCGGUAA
rnacentral:rRNA from 1 species